rnacentral:rRNA from 1 species
GCAUAGGAAACUGCCCAGUAGUGGGGGAUAGCCCGGGGAAACCCGAUUAAUACCGCGUACGCCUUCGGGGAAAGCAGGGGAUCUUCGGACCUUGCGCUAUUGGAUGUGCCUAUGUCGGAUUAGCUAGUUGGUGGGGUAAAGGCCUACCAAGGCGACGAUCCGUAGCUGGUCUGAGAGGAUGAUCAGCCACAUCGGGACUGAGACACGGCCCGAACUCCUACGGGAGGCAGCAGUGGGGAAUAUUGGACAAUGGGGGCAACCCUGAUCCAGCCAUGCCGCGUGUGUGAAGAAGGCUUUCGGGUUGUAAAGCACUUUCAGUGAGGAGGAAAAGUUGGUCGUUAACACCGGCCAGCCUUGACGUUACUCACAGAAGAAGCACCGGCUAACUCCGUGCCAGCAGCCGCGGUAAUACGG